rnacentral:lncRNA from 1 species
UUUGUCCCCUCACCCCCAGGGUGUCUGACGACAUGUAGCACACAGCUUGAUAUGGUAUCCCAAACAGGUGAGCGUGCCCCGCUCACCCAGAUUCCAAGAACACCAAACCACGUGGACACAAUUUCACCCAUAUUCUCGCAGAUACCUGGGAAUGAUAAAUGCGACAAGAAAUAGACUACUUCUGCGUAUCACUUGAAUUCACCUGGUGGAAAACAGUCUGACCAGAAUGUAAACAUGCUGACACAAGCCAGACUUUCUGGAAGGGCAUCGGGAGAGCACAACUCAGCAAUCCAUAGACAUCCUUCAGUGCUUCUGGCCCGACCUACCUGUCUUAAGUCCAGAGUGAUUGUGACCCAGUGAUAUUCUCUCCCGUUUUGAAUACUGGGGCUUUGCCACCAGUUGUUGGUCCCAUCGAUUGCAUGUGAUAUUGGGUGGCGUUCUGUGAAAAGAAAAAAUAUAGGCGUUCCUCUC